GCCGGAGUAGCUCAGUGGUAGAGCAACUGAUUCGUAAUCAGUAGGUCGAGGGUUCAAUCCCCUUCUCCGGCU
rnacentral:tRNA from 1 species